GACGAACGCUGGCGGCGUGCCUAAUACAUGCAAGUCGAGCGAAGCGGCUGAUGGGUGAGUAACGCGUGGGUAACCUGCCCUUCAGUCUGGGAUACCAUUUUGAAACAGAUUCUAAUACCGGAUACUACAGGUUGGACCUGCGAUGCAUUAGCUAGUUGGUAAGGUAACGGCUUACAAAGGCGAUGAUGCAUAGCUGGGUUGAGAGACUGAUCGGCCACAUUGGGACUGUGACACGGCCCAAACUCCGACGGGAGGCAGCAGUGGGGAAUCUUGCACAAUGGACGAAAGUCUGAUGGAGCAACGCCGCGUGAGUGAAGAAGGUUUUCGGAUCGUAAAGCUCUGUUGUUGGUGAAGCGGUAAUCAACCAGAAAGUCACGGCUAACUACGUGCCAGCAGCCGCGGUAAUUC
rnacentral:rRNA from 1 species